rnacentral:rRNA from 1 species
GAUUUCUGGUUUAAUGCACCUGGCCCGCGGCCACUAGGCUGUGAGUGCCGGCGCGCGUUUACCAUCCUUCUAGAAAUCGGUUCUGCCAUUAACUUGGUGGGGCCGCGAUCUAGAUCUUUUACUUUGAAAAAAUUAGAGUGUUUAAAGCAGGCUCUUGCUAUGAAUACAUUAGCAUGGAAUAAUAAUCUAGGACUUCGGUUCUAUUUUGUUGGUUUCUAGAACUGAAGUGAUGAUUGAUAGGGACAGUUGGGGGUGCUAGUAUUGGCCGGCCAGAGGUGAAAUUCUUGGAUUCGGUCAAGACUAACUUAUGCGAAAGCAUU